UAAUUUUGGACCCUUUGGACCUUAAUGUAGACCAAUUUAAAAAACGGGACCCAAAAUUAAAAAUCUAAAAACACGGUUAGAUUUGGCAUAUCAAAGAACCCCAAUAAUUCAAUUUUUGAUGAAAUCAAACAAAGUUUAAUUUUGGACCCUUUUGACCUCAAUAUGAACCAAUUUGAAAGCGGGGUCCACAAAUAAAAAAUUUAAAUACAUGGUUAGAUUCAGCAUAUCAAAGAACCCCAUAUAUUCAAUUUUUGUUGAAAUCAAACAUAGUUUAAUUUUGGACCCCAAUUUGGACCAACUUGAAAACUGGGCCCAAAAUCAAAAAUCUAAAUACAUGUUUAGAUUCAGCAUAUCAAAGAACCCCAUAUAUUCAAUUGUUG